GUAGGUGAACCUGCGGAAGGAUCAUUACAAAAAAAUGUCGGUCCUCUCGGGGACCGGUGGCCACGGUCGCUGCCCGUAAAACCGGCGGCGUGCCUGACGCCUAAACCCUUUGUGAAAAACCCCGGUUGCUUCGGCAGCUCGUCCCCUUAGUUGGGGGCGGUCAGCCCUGCCGACGGCACCAAAAUAAAACUCUUACCUGAAAAAAAGAAUUAUAAUGUCUGAGCGCAAAGUCUAAUGACUAUAAAACUUUCAACAACGGAUCUCUUGGUUCCC
rnacentral:misc_RNA from 1 species